rnacentral:rRNA from 1 species
GGUUAGAUAUAAAAAAGAUUUAGUAGUAAGUGAAACUCAUGAAACUAAAAUUAAUUGGCGGCUUAAUAAAUUUUUUAGAGGAAUUUAUUCUUUAAUAGAUUUAACCCUAAAAUCUUACUUUUGUUAGUUAAUCAGUUUGUAUACCGCUAUUUAAAUAUAAUAUGAGUUAUAUUAAUUAAUUCUAAGAGGCACUAUUUUAGGUUAAGGUGCAGCUUAUAUAAAAGAUUGAAAUAAAUUAUAUGAAUUAGUAUUUAACAAAAAAUUAAUUUUAAUUUUAAUUUUAAGUAAAAUUUAAUAGUAAGUUUUAUGAAUAAAGUAAAACUGAAUAAUAAUUUAUAGGUGUACAUAUUGCCCGUCACUCUCUUUUUGAG